AUGAUAUCAGGUGGAAACAGGAGUCGUGAUCAGAUAAGCGGACAACUAAACAACUUGCCCGUUCGAUUCAACCGAACCGGAUUCAAUCACGUACGCAUCUCCAACUCUCCGUAUUAUAAAUAUAUCGAACGGUUCUGUAUCGAAGAGCACAAGUUGUGUAGCAACAAAGCGACCAUGGCGCAGACGACGGAGACGCCGUCGUCCACGCAGGACCUGACGCAGCGGCUACCCGUCGACCUGCUCUCCGACGUGCUGCGCCGCCUCCAGACGACGUCGCCGCCCAGCCUCGCUGUGUCCCGGUGCGUCUGCAAGGCGUGGCGUGACGUCGUCGACACCAGACGGCUGCUCGUGGACCUCCUGCCGCGCUCACUGAGCGGCAUAUUCGUCCAUCUCAGCGGCGACACGCGUGAACUGCUCACACAAUACUUCUCGCCCGCCAUGUCAUCCACCAGCAUCGCGGCCGCGUUCGACUACGUGGGCGCCGAGUGCUCGACGAUCAAGCAGCACUGCAACGGCCUCCUCCUGCUCGACAACGAAUGGCCACGAGGCCGAGCGCCUAUCAAGGAGAAGGUUUUUGUGGAAUGUAUACCACGGACCUGCAUUUAG
rnacentral:rRNA from 1 species